UCUCAAACGUUCCUCAGUUGAACAUCAUUCGCUCUCCUGAGUCUGAAGAAUACACUACGAGCAUUCCGUUCCCGACAAUGAUCUUCAUCAGAUUAAUCGCGAUGGCGCUGGCUAUCUUGACCGUAGCCUACUCUGCCGUAGCCAUUGCCGUAGCUAUUUCUGAAGCCGAUGCAGAUGCUUAUCCUGGCUACGGCGCUUACAACCACGGACACAUUUUUGGAAUUCAACAAGGUCUAAACGAUUACAGACCAGCCUACAGACCAUCCCACCCAACAGUGUACAAGCCAUAUUAUAACAGACCCCGCUACUCGUAGACUGCUGAAUGGGCUUCGGACCUGCGUUCCUCAUCGCCUUCAUAUAAUUCAUCUCAUCUUCUUCAUUUGUUUUUCAUCGCAGAAUCAAGUCAUGAGACUCCAUUGCACAGCCAUUGUAUUUUUUAUAACAAAAUGAUUAUUUGAAUCGGUCGUAAUAUAACAAUGAUUUUAGUACUA